rnacentral:rRNA from 1 species
AACGUAGGUGGCGAGCGUUAUCCGGAUUUACUGGGCGUAAAGCGUGUGCAGGUGGCCUGUUAAGUGGUGUAUGAAAUCGCCCGGCUCAACCGGGCGGGGUUAUGCCAGACUGGCAGGCUAGAGGGUGGGAGAGGGAUGUGGAAUUCCGGGUGUAGUGGUGAAAUGCGUAGAGAUCCGGAGGAACCCCAGAGGCGAAGGCGGCAUCCUGGCCCACGACUGACACUCAGACACGGACAGCAUGGGGAGCGAACGGG